rnacentral:lncRNA from 1 species
AGAAGGCAAGGAGCCUGGGUAUCAUAGUCUGCAGAGGGCAGCCUCUUGGAAUAAAGGGCAGGGUAGAAGGAGUCUGUGGAUUUGAUCUGAAAGGCAACAAAAUAACUAGCACACUUUGUUCCUGUAAAUCAGGGGUUGGCAAACUCUUGCCUGUAAAGGUGGAAAGGGAGUGAUCCCUCUCCUCCCCAUCAUAAGGGCCACAGCCAACACUCCUUUAACAAAAGAUAGGUUAACAAGAGAAACUCAUAACAAAUUUCUUUAAACAUAGUUUUAUGUGACAUGGGAUCCUUCAGAGUGAAGACAAAAAUACAUGGGGAAAACUGUCCAUUUUUAUGCUGGGGUUUGAUGAAGAAUGGACAGCUGUGUAGGCCUGCAACUGGAUAAAAAGGACUGGAGUGUGUGCCAGAGGGCGUGCCAAGCUACAAGACAAUCACCUUCGAUUUCCCUGGAGAGUCAAUUUGACCAUAAGGAAUGACCGAAGGAUUGGGGAAGAAAAUACUCCCCCUGCUGAUGCUCCUUUGGUUCUACUUGGGAGUGAAGCUCACAAGAGGAGGGACUGCAAUAAACGUUCCCCAGAUGAUGCAGAGGUCUCUCUCUGCUGACAGUUAAUACCUUGCCUCCAAGCCUGAAUCGCCUUCCUGUCUGCGGGGUGUCUGAACGAACACAGCAAGAUGUGCAGGUCACUGAGUUAGAAGAAGUCGGCAGGGCCUAAGGCCUUCUGCAAGGUGUGACUCUCUCCCUCCAUACUGAGAACAUUUUGAAGUGACUUCAGAGGCUGCAGGGCUUGGGAAGUCCCAUGAGAACCGCUCCCCUUUCCCAAGGCACCGACAUGGCCUGUAGCCAGGCAUUGCUGUUUCUCAGCAGACUGAU